rnacentral:rRNA from 1 species
UACGUAGGGGGCGAGCGUUAUCCGGAAUUAUUGGGCGUAAAGAGUACGUAGGUGGUUCUCUAAGCGUGGGGUUUAAGGCAAUAGCUUAACUACUGUUCGCCCCAUGAACUGGAGGACUUGAGUGCUGGAGAGGAAAGCGGAAUUCCUAGUGUAGCGGUGAAAUGCGUAGAUAUUAGGAGGAACACCAGUGGCGAAGGCGGCUUUCUGGACAGUAACUGACACUGAGGUACGAAAGUGUGGGGAGC